GCAGACCUUUAAAUUGCUAUUGUACUUAUCUACAAUGAUAUCAGCAAGCAAUUGCUUGGUCCUCACUUUGAUCCUCCUUCUAAAGAUGAAAUUAGAGCCUUGAUGCAGGUAUGGUGGUGGUUAACUGAUUGCUCAGUAGAAUCAUUGCAGUUUUAGGUAUAGCGAACCUGUUGAAUGUACUGACUUGGAGUGGAGAUUGCUUUAUGGCAGGAUGUUUAAGAAAGUUAUCAUAUUGUCAAACCAGAAGAAUGUAGAUUUUGUCGUUGAAAAAUGAAAUUUGAAUUAUUUUUGGUAAUAAGUUUUUGACUUCUUCGCUUCCGUUAUUUCUUUUGCCUACAGCAGCAUGGAUACGUUGAGUUAUGACGGUAGAAGUAAACUCAAGAUGCUUGUUAGGUGUUAGUUAUGUUAUAUGUGAAGCUUUGUUUAGCAUAGUUAUAACACUUACAAAAUCAUGCCUAAUUGUGAUGUAUACAAUUUUUUUCCUUGUAAUAUUAGUACUUUCUCAAUAUUUCUCACAACACCAAUAUACGUUUUUCACUUGAAUUAUUGGGCCCGUGCCAGCGCGGAUUCUUCCAUCUAAUAUAUAUAUAUAUAUAUUUUUAUACAAUAGAAAAGCUGGUUUCGACCCACAUGCUUUUCUAUACAUACUAUAUUAUCUAGUAAGGGUAAUUUGGUAAGUUGAUAAUCAAUAUUUAUUACUUACCCAUCAUAAAUUUAUACCAAACGCUUGGCACUUUCUUAAGCUUAACAAAUUUUCUACCACACACAUAUCAUGUCAAAUUUUCAAACGUAGAGUGUUGGCAUUACUAAAUUCGCCUGACCAUUCCAGAUCUUCAAUAUUACCGCUUACUCUGUAAAAAAAAAAUAAAAAAAAUCUCAACUCUUGUGAUAUUCUCUCUACUGAGUAAAGAAAAAAUUUCAAUUCCAGCGAUAUUCUUUGUCAGGUAUGUUUGAGUAAAUAUAAUUCUGGAUCUGAUGAAAUGGAUCUGUUGUGAAGUUAAUCUGUUAUGGAUUUUUCGUAAUCUACUCUUUGAUUUCCGUUCAAAUGGUUUUGUAGCUUUCAUGUUGUGAUUUAUGUAUAAAUCUUGUAAAAAGAUGAGAAGAAAAAGGUUUCUUUUUUGUUGGAACUGAAAUUGAUUAUGUGCUUUAGUUUUUUUCUUGGAUUUGUUGGUACUGUAUGUAUCAGUCAGAUGCAGAUGUAGCUGAGUUGAAUAUGAGUGUGGAGUGUGAACAAAAAAUGAUUUAAGCUGAGUUUCUAUUGGAAACUGCUCUCUCUGGUCUCCUGCAUAGGAGCGUAACUGUCAACUUAUUUUUGUUUUUCCUUCAAUCGUUUAUGUCGACGAAGGUGAUGGCUGAACCCACAAUCGCAAAGGUAAGUUUUAAGGAUUUGUGAAAUUGGGGUUUUCCAAUUGUCGGUGAAAUUACUGUUUUUCAUUAGCACUUUUCGAUUACUGAUCUUUAUAUUUUAAUUUAAAGAAAAAGUAAUUUAAUUAAUGAAAAAAGACAAGUAAAAUGAGAAAUUAAAUUAGAAAAUUUGGGACGGAUAAUUUGAGACGGAGGAAGUAUUUAAUAGAAUCAUUAUUUAUAAACUUCAAAAAUAAAUAAAUUCUGCUACUAUAAAUGUUGUCGAUCUAUUCAAUAUUUAACUUUCAUCCUAAUAUGCUAGCUAGGAAGGUGUGAAGGCUGUGUAUUAGAGAUAGAAGGUUAGUAGAUAAUAGGGUACGUUAUCUUGAUUUUCAAAGGUGUGAAGGCUGUGUAUUAGAGAUAGAAGGUUAGUAGAUAAUAGGGUACGUUAUCUUGAUUUUCAAAGGUACCAAUCUAUUCGGAAAUUGUGGGUUGUGUCCCACGUUGGUGGAAUUAGCGUUUGUGUUGUGAAAGACUCCAUCAAUUUGAAAAUUGUGAGUUGUGCUUUGCCGUUUAGGUACUGGGUUUUAAAGAAAAACUAUGAUACAGCAUAAAAUAAAUGUUUGGCUUAAAACUUAAAAAAUGUUCUCUCUAACAGUAGGUUUGUGUUUUUGGUGUUGAGAACUUUGUUUUCUGAAAAUUGGGUUUCUAUUGCGGAAUUGGGUUAUAUAUUUCUCCUAUAUUUAGAGCCAAAAGCAUUAGAUCCUUUGGUGUUUCUUUGUUGGUGCUUGGGCUCUUAAAUUAUGUCACCGAGUGCGCGUUAGAUCCUUUAAAAGUAGUGCAUUUCCACAGGAUUUGGUACGAGUGCGCCCGUACUUUUUGGAGAAUCGAGCAGCUUAGGAAUCAAAGGCUACUCUUAUGCUCUCCGAUUGAGUGUUUGGUUCGAUGUAUUAAAAAUAACAUGAAUUACAUAAUUUCAAAAAAAAAAAAAGAAUUUUUUUUUUUACAUAAUAUCCUCAAUAUAUAUGUUGAAAAGGAUGUGAAAUUUUUUCUGAGAGAUAAUAGUGUCUUUAAGCAUGUUAAUGCAUGCAUUAGAUCGAUUGUAUUACUACUGUCAUGGAUUUUGAGGUAUUAGUAAUACAUACCUCAAUACGCAAUAGGGAUAAAAAAAUAUACCAAACAAGGUAUUACUAAUAUACAUUAAACUAAUGCAAGCUUUUAAGUUUUUACAUCUUUAGUGGAAAACUUUCUUUUGGAAUGAAAUGAGCCUGAAGGCAGCAGAAUGAAUAUAGAGGAUUUAAUUAUAAACAACUAUUCGGGGUGGAGGUGUAAUGAGGUUGAGAGAAGAGUAAAACCUAUGCUUGACAUUGAAAGAAGUGUUGAUACUUCAACAAAAUAGACAGAGGUCUCAUGAGAGUACGUCUACAAUAAUAGGGAUUUUUGAGAUUUUCACCAGUUUGAUAUUUCAUUCUCUCUCGAAAUGCAAUAGCUGCUUUCUGUCGAAUUGAUCAAUCAAUGGCCAAUAUUUGUUAUUAUUUUUCCUAAAUUUCUUGCAAUGUUCAUCAUAAACUUGUAUUCUUUCAUGCAACAGAUCUCAGUCAUACAUUUGUAGAGCCCAACCUGAGGAUGCAUCAACUCUUUUUUUGUAUUUGUGUAAAUUAUAUAUACAGUACCGUGUGUGGAUAUAUAUGUGUGUGGAUGUAUGUAUAUAAAAUGUGUGUGCUACAAGUUUGUUCCCCUGAGCUCAA